rnacentral:rRNA from 1 species
UACGUAGGGACCAAGCGUUGUUCGGAUUUACUGGGCGUAAAGGGCGCGUAGGCGGCAAUUCAAGUCAUCUGUGAAAUCUCCGGGCUUAACUCGGAACGGUCAGAUGAUACUGCUUUGCUAGAGUACAGAAGGGGCAAUCGGAAUUCUUGGUGUAGCGGUGAAAUGCGUAGAUAUCAAGAGGAACACCUGAGGUGAAGACGGGGUUGCUGGGCUGAUACUGACGCUGAGGCGCGAAAGCCAGGGGAGCAAACGGG